rnacentral:lncRNA from 1 species
CUCCUGCCUGAGCCUCCUGAGUAGCUGGGAUUACAGCCAUGUGCCACAACGCCCAGCCAAUUUUGUAUUUUUAGUAGAGAUGGGGUUCCUCCAUGUUGAUCAGGCUGGUAUCAAACUCCUGACCUCAGGUGAUCUGCCUGCCUCUGCCUGUCAAAGUGCUGGAAUUACAGGCAUGAGCCACCAUGCCUGGCCAGAUACAGAUAUAUUUUUAAGGAAAAAUACUGGAAGAGUAAUCAGCAAACGUUAAAAAUGCGACCUCUGACUGUUACCCCUCAGAGUCUUGGAUCCUACAUCUGUAAAAUGGGAGUGAUGAGACGUUCCUCGUGGCACAGAGCUGAAGAGCAGGUCCCAAGUCCUUCUUCUGUGCUAAGGACUGCAACAUGUGUGGGAUGCAGAGAUGCAUUUAAUAAACAUUUAUUGAGCAUGUACUAUGUGCUGGGCACUGUUUAAAGCUGUGGGAAUAUAUUCAUGAAUUAAAAACCGGGCCAAAAUACCCAUCCACUCUAGUAUAAAGAAAAUAGAGUUGCUGUCCUCGAGGAGUUUAGAAACAGAGAUGGGUAAACGAAUCAUAGCAUAAGGUGUCACAGGUGCAAGGAGCAGAGAAGGAAAAAGGCAACAGGCAUGGGGAUAGGUGGGCGGGGUUUCAAGAGAAGCGUCAUAAAGGAGGUCACAUCUAAGCUGAAGUGAGGGGCUGUCAAAUCCUCACCUGCACUAUACACAGAGAUGCUUGGGAAAGAUGCUGGGCUUUGGCUAAUAGUGGAAUUCUCAACUCAUAAAAGGGAAGUUUCAAAGUUGGGGACUUGUGCUGCCAUAACAGAUGAAUUUCUGUGUUAACUUGAGGAGAUAAUAAAAAUUUUAAUUAAACAUCUGCUGGGUUACAAAAGGCAGCCUCAUGAAAAAG